CACGUUAUGUGGGCGACGUCUAAGGAGACUGCCGGUGCAAACCGGAGGAAGGUGGGGAGUGACGUCAAGUCAUCAUGGCCCUUACGGCCUGGGCUACACACGUGCUACAAUGGUCGGUACAAAGGGUUGCCAAGCCGCGAGGUGGAGCUAAUCCCAUAAAACCGAUCGUAGUCCGGAUCGCAGUCUGCAACUCGACUGCGUGAAGUCGGAAUCGCUAGUAAUCGUGAAUCAGAAUGUCACGGUGAAUACGUUCCCGGGCCUU
rnacentral:rRNA from 1 species